GCCUUCGUGGUGUAAUGGUCAGCACACUCGACGCGUGUUCGAGAGAUCAGAGGUUCGAGUCCCGGCAAGGGUA
rnacentral:tRNA from 1 species